GAUGAACGCUAGCGGCAGGCUUAACACAUGCAAGUCGAGGGGCAACACGGGUAGCAAUACCUGGUGGCGACCGGCGCAAGGGUGCGUAACGCGUGAGCAACAUGCCCUAUACAGGGGGAUAAUCCAGGGAAACUUGGUCUAAUAUCCCAUAGUAUUUAGAGGUGGCAUCACCACUAAAUUAAAGCUUCGGUGGUAUAGGAUUGGCUCGCGUGACAUUAGCUGGAUGGUGGGGUAACGGCUCACCAUGGCGAUGAUGUCUAGGGGUUCUGAGAGGAAGACCCCCCACACUGGGACUGAGACACGGCCCAGACUCCUACGGGAGGCAGCAGUGAGGAAUAUUGGACAAUGGAUGGAAAUCUGAUCCAGCCAUGCCGCGUGCAGGAAGACGGCCCUAUGGGGUUGUAAAACUGCUUUUAUAUGGGAGCAAUAAGGUUUACGCGUAGACCGAUGAGAGUACCAUAUGAAUAAGCAUCGGCUAACUCCGUG
rnacentral:rRNA from 1 species